rnacentral:rRNA from 1 species
GACGCACGCUGGCGGCGUGCUUAACACAUGCAAGUCGAACGAAGUGGCGAACGGGUGAGUAACGCGUAAUCAACCUGCCCUUCAGAGGGGGACAACAAUUGGUAACGACUGCUAAUACCGCCUACUGACGGAGGGGAUUGCGUCUGAUUAGCUAGUUGGAGUGGUAACGGCCCACCAAGGCGAUGAUCAGUAGCCGGUCUGAGAGGAUGAACGGCAACAUUGGGACGGAGACACGGCCCAGACGCAUACGGGAGGCAGCAGUGGGGAAUCUUCCGCAAUGGACGAAAGUCUGACGGAGCAACGCCGCAUGAGUGAUGACGGCCUUCGGGUUGUAAAGCUCUGUUAAUCGGGACGCGGUACCGGAAUAGAAAGCCACGGCUAACUACGUGCCAGCAGCCGCGGUAAUAC